rnacentral:rRNA from 1 species
UACAGAGGGGGCAAGCGUUAUUCGGAAUUAUUGGGCGUAAAGGGCGCGUAGGCGGCCUGGCAAGUGGAAGGUGAAAUCCCUCGGCUUAACCGAGGAACUGCCCUCCAAACUGCUUGGCUUGAGUCCGGGAGAGGUGAGUGGAAUUCCCAGUGUAGCGGUGAAAUGCGUAGAUAUUGGGAGGAACACCAGUGGCGAAGGCGGCUCACUGGACCGGAACUGACGCUGAGGCGCGAGAGCGUGGGGAGCAAACGGG